rnacentral:rRNA from 1 species
CAGAUGUGAAAGCCCGGGGCUCAACCUCGGAAAUUGCAUUUGAAACUGGCAAACUAGAGUACUGUAGAGGGGGGUAGAAGUUUCAGGUGUAGCGGUGAAAUGCGUAGAGAUCUGAAGGAAUACCGGUGGCGAAGGCGGCCCCCUGGACAGAUACUGACACUCAGAUGCGAAAGCGUGGGGAGCAAACAGGAUUAGAUACCCUGGUAG